rnacentral:rRNA from 1 species
UACAGAGGUCUCAAGCGUUGUUCGGAUUCAUUGGGCGUAAAGGGUGCGCAGGUGGCGCGGCAAGUCGGAUGUGAAAUCCCGGGGCUCAACCUUGGAACUGCAUUCGAUACUGCCGUGCUAGAGUGCUGGAGAGGAGAUUGGAAUUUACGGUGUAGCAGUGAAAUGCGUAGAUAUCGUAAGGAAGACCAGUGGCGAAGGCGGAUCUCUGGACAGCUACUGACA